ensembl:lncRNA
CAACGAGUAUGUUUGCAGAUAAUGUUCUGGACAUGAGCUGUCGGAAAGGUCCAAUACUUUUCCUCUUUGUUAUGCUACGUUUAGAAUUGUGGGUCUUUAUUAGUAGUAUCCACAUUUCCAGCUUUUCAGGCAGAAAAUAAAUACUUGUUCUAAGAAGCCCUUUCUCAUUAUGUUUUUAUACUGAACCAUGAAAAUGUGUUUAAGGCGGUAAUGUCUCACAUGCUACCCCCGAGAGAGCAGACUGUUUAUAGGGAUGAGUUCAUCUCCCCCAGAUACGGUAAACAUGGUGCCAUCAUUAACCUCUUUGUGGAUUAAAGUCACCUGGCAAUGAUUGAUGAGCAUCUCAAAUAAAACCAUUUACCCUUCUUCCUUUAAAGGAGUCCUUUGAGAAGAAUCUUUCCUUCUCAAUUUGCUAUAGCCUUUGGCAAAACACACAUGGGGCACUUUUAAAAAAAUAAUUUUUAUUGCAGUAUAGUUGUUUACCAGGUGGCGCUAGUGGUAAAGAACCCACCUGCCAUGCAGGAGACCUAAGACACUUAGGUUCAAUCCCUGGGUUGGGAAGAUCGCCUGGAGGAGAUGGCAACCCACUCCAGGAUUCCUGCCUGGAGAAUGCUAUGGGCAGCGGAGUGUGGCAGGCUAUAGUCCAUGGGGUUGCAAAGAGUCAGACAUGACUACAGCGACUUAGCGCGCACACACACACAGUUGCUUUACAGUGUUGUGCUAGCUUCUGCACAGUAAAAUGAAUCAGCCAUACAUAUACAUACAUUCCCUCCCUUUUGGAUUUCCCUCCCAUUUAGCAUACCCCAGAGCAAUGAGUAGAGUUCCCUGUGCUAUACAGCAGGUUCCCAUCAAUUGAUUAUUAGUAUGGUAUAGUAUCAAUAGUGUAUAUGUGUCAAUCCAGCAACAGAAACUGAGGCAUGUACACUCAAGUUCAUAGCAGCCAAGAGUGGAAAACAGAUGAAAUGUCCACCGACAGACGAAUGGAUAAACAAAUUGUAUCCAUACAAUGGAAGGUGAUUCAGCCUCAGAGAGGAAGGUAAUUCUGACAUGUGGUACAGCGCAGAUGAACCAUAAGGGCAUUAUGCUAAGUGAAAAAGGCCAGUCACAAAAUGACAGAUGCUGUAUGAUUCUACUCAUACAAAGCAUCUAGUAUAAUCAAAUGUAUAGAAAUAGAAGAGCUGUGAUUGCCAGGGGCUGGAGGAUAGCGGAUGGUGGUUAUUGUUUAAUGGGUGUGGGGGCUUCAGGUUUGCAAGAUGACAAGAGUUCUGGAGAGGAAUGGUGGUGAUGGUUACGCAACAAUGUGAAAAUAUGUACUACUGCUGAAUUGUACACUUGAAAACGGUUAAGAACAUAAGUUUUAUGUGUAUUCUACAACAAAUAAAAAAUAAUAUUUAAAAAAUAGUCAGGCACAACAGAGGCUUAGAGUUGAAUUAAUCCGAACUCUAAGGCCCCUUACUGGAAAGCCAGUGCAGGCUACAGCUGCUGUCAGAGCCCCAGCCUUCUCCUCCCCAUACCCCAGGACAUCAAGAACUCUUCUUACUGAAGCUAAAGAGAAUCAGAAUUUGACGUGUAAUGUCUUUGAACUUGACUGAGAGUGGGAUAAUUUAAUUUCAGGCUUUAACUUCUUUGGAUCUUGUGAGAGGAUUAAAUUUUGGUCUUGGGACUCGCUGGUAACUUGAUACUGGGAAGGGUAAGUUCAAGUGUAGAACAUCUUAUUGUUGGGAUGCUUUUAUGAUAUAAAUUAAGAUAUGUUGGUUUUACCGCAUAACUUCUGAUGGGCUAUGUUGGUCAAUGUAGCUUGAAAUAAUUUGAGACGGAAAACUGAAGAGCUACAUUUUUCAUCUUGAAUAUAGAAAGGCCUUGAGAAACACAAUGUACUUCACUGACCCUUCUCAGAAACUUAUGGGGGAAAACUCCACACUGCCUGCAGGGGAAGGUCUCUAGUGGAGCAGUGGCUGGUUUGGUGGUGGUAGGGAGCUGAUUCCCUCUCUGAAGGUGCUGUGCCCCUUCUGGUUGACCACUGUUGUUGUUUAGUCCCUAAGUUAUGUUUGACUCUUUUGUGACCCCAUGGAUUGUAGCCCACCAGGCUGCUCUGUCCAUGGGAUUUCCCGGGCAAGAAUACUAGAGUGGGUUGCCGUUUCCUCCUCCAGGGGAUCUUCCUGACCAGGAUCUCCUGCAUUGGCAGGUAGGAAUCUGGGGACAGAUAGAGUAAUUUCCCUCAGGCUGCUUGAGUAUUCGUAUUUAUUUCUUAUGAAUCCAAUGAAGAGGCAUUAAUCAGCCUUGGCCCCUCCCCAUUUCCUCUCAUCCUUCUUAGGAGAAAAAUGACUGGUAAACUUGGGACUAGCAACUGAACUCUGCUCCUCCUCCUUCCUCUUCCUGCGCUCAGCCCACCUUCAAACUGCUGGGAAGUCUCCUUGGUCCAAGUGGUAAACGUGGCAGCAAAAACCUUGCCCUAGAUGGGAGAGGCCUGUAGUUGUCCAGUGCUUCCCGAGGCUGGGUGAAUAAAUUUUCUACUGAGAUUCUGUAUUAGACAUCGUUGUCUAAUUACUUCUAUAUUAUAUUCCUCAAGCACAUCCUCCAGCCUAGCUUUGUUUUUUGUUCAGUAAUAAAGCAGAUUUUUGUGGUUCAGUCUCUCAUUCAUGUACAACUCUUUUCGACCCCAUAGGCUACAGCAUGCCAGGCUUCCCUCUCCCUCACUAUCUCCUGGAGUUUGCUCAAACUCAUGUCCAUUGAGUGGAUGAUGCCGUCCAACCAUCUCAAUAUCUGUCACCCCCUUCUUCCCCUGCCUUCAAUGUUUUCCAGCAUCAGUGUCUUUUCCAAUGAGUCAGCUCUUCACAUCAGGUGGCCGAAGUACUGGAACUUCAGCUUUAGCAUCAGUCCUUUCAAUGAAUAUUCAGGCUUGAUUUCCUUUGGGAUUGACUGAUUUAUUUGACCUCAAAAAAAAUCAGAUGUUUGAUCUAAAACUAUGUCCACACACUAAUUGUGUUCUGCCUUUGCCAGGUGCCAAGAAGUCUGAAGAACAAGUUCAUCCACUGCAUGCCACUUGAUCCUCCUGAUGAUCCAGUGAGGUGGAUGGAUGGGAAAGCCUUCCGUUCAUCCAUGUUUCUGCAAACAGAAGCAACCUAAAUGUCCAUCAACAGAUGAACGAAUUAAGAAGAUGUAGGGGCUCAGAGGAUAAAGCAUCUGCCUGCAAUGCAGGAGACCCAGGUUCGAUCCCUGGGUUGGGAAGAUCCCCUGGAGAAGGAAAUGGCAACCCAGUAUUCUUGCCUGGAGAAUCCCAUGGACAGAGACUGGCAGGUUACAGUCCAUGGGGUCACAAAGAGUUGGACAUGACUGAGUGACUUCACUUUCACUUCACUACAAUGGAAUACUAC